AAAAUGGCAGUGAAUGAGCUGAAGAAAGGUAUCCCCAUGAUGAUAAUGAUAUUAGUGAUUAUGUUCGUAGUGGCUCAAUUAUGUGGAACAACUCAAUCUCUAGAUAUAAGUACUAAACAGUAUUGUGACGAUUGUAGAAUGAAGUGCAGGAAUGAAUGUAUCAUUUUCAAUUGCAGAAUUGGAUGUAUGCGUAGAAAUUGUAAUUGUUGCAUUACCAAUUCCCCUGCCUGCGUAUAACGAUUAAGGCUCAGAGUCUCGCAACAAUAUUGAAUAUUUAUAUGUAAUUUAUGUUAGAAUUCGCAC
rnacentral:lncRNA from 1 species